rnacentral:rRNA from 1 species
AUGAAGCGCAGCAACGGCGUCACUGCUGUGUGGUGUGUAGCCCUAGGCCUAGCCAUGCUCGUGCUCAUGGCGGCGGCCAAGGACCCAAGCGACUCCGGCAACGUGGCCAACGAGCGUCAGGCGGUCCAUGGGGCGACACAAGGAGAAAAAUUAAGCGGAGAAGUCCCAUACUACUGUCGCUACAUCUGCGACGACAAGCAAGAUUACGCGUACUGCAUCAAAGGAUGCGUGGCGAGGGAGAAGAAGCUAGAGGGGGAGGGCUUGGCGGAGGGAAGGGAGCAAGAGGUACAAGCAAGAGGAGGAGCAGGAGGAGGACCUGGGCUGCUGGUGAUGCUGACGGAGCACGCCGGACAGGAAGCCGCAGAGAAGAAGAAGCAAGCCGCCGCCGCCGCAGUUCAGUUGGGCUACGACCCAGAAUUCUGCUCCUUCAUGUGCCGCUACGUACAUGAAAAGGAGGACCGCCUCAGAAAGGAGCCAGAAGAAGAGAAGAGGGAGAAAGAGGGUGCAUUGUCAGCGAUGGGCCCCAAUGGCAUGCACGCGUUCAUGGAGGCGCCGGACAAGGUGUUGCUGGACACAUUCUCGUCCCAACACCAGAGCGCCCUGGUGAUGGCGAUACUGGACCUCCUCUCUUCGCACUCAUCGGGGGCAGGAGUACUUGGGCAUGUACCAAGAGCCGCGUGGCGACAUAAUGGCAAGAUCAACAACGCGUUCGAGGAGUUCACGGAAAGGAUGUUGAGGAUCGAGGUCCAGCUAAGGCGAUCGGACGGUGAUCCUAUGGGUGCCAAAACGGUGAUGGGGAUGGGUGUUCCAACAAGCAUCUCCAUUUGA